rnacentral:lncRNA from 1 species
ACAUAAUUCGUAGUAUAUAUCACAUGAUAACUACAAUAUUUUCCAAGUGCAUAACUAGUAUUACACAACAUAAUUAGUACUACACCAUAUUAAAGCAUCAAUAUCUUCAACAUUGAGAAAAUUUUUGAAGUCAAAAUUUUCUAUGCUUCGUACUUUUAGCUAAAAAAACUUUGGCCUUAGAUUUACAACCCACAAGAUAAUCUAAUACACUACAAAGGAAGUCAUCAUUAAAUUCUUCUAACUCUAUCGACAUCACUUCUUUGUAAGGAAUAUCUCAAACAAAGGAACACUAACUGAUGCAACAGCGAGCUGCCUGACAUAAAAGAGAAUCAAUCAAACAAGGUCAAAAAAAAUCAUUGAAAUUACAAAUCAAUAAGUACGAGCAAGAAGUAUAUGAAAACUUGAGCCAAUUCAAAAUGUAUAAACAAUAAAUGCUCAUAACAGCAACACAAAUACAUGUACAGACCAACAAACAAAUGAUCUAUAAUACAUAUGAAAAAAGGGAGUGAUUACCUAGGACACAAAAUUAAACAAUACCAUUUAAUUGAAUCAAAAUACAUCUACAAACAAACAAACGUAAAAUUAUACUAAAAUCAAUGAUUAAAUUCGCUUUUAGAAAAUACUAAGGUAUUAGUUGUCUUGUUGUGAUCAUGAAUCUAUUUACAAUAUCAGAUAUGAUUUCGUUAUUUGUCUGUUAUUACAUGAAGGAAUACCAUUUAGUAUAACACUACCUUAAAAAUAAAAUGAAUAUAGAGUCCAGAACUAAGGAAGUUGAUGUUAAUGAAGAAAAAUGUUUGGUAAGCCUAUGACAAACUAUUGCAAACAAAAACAGUUACAACCUAUAACAUCAAAAUUAAGAAAAGAAAGAUAGAUAGAGACAUUGAAGCAGGAAGUGACAAACACAACAAGCAAAACCACUUAGCACUAAAAUCUAACCUCAAACCUUAGUAGAUCUAAGAGAGCAAAAGAAACACUUGUAUCACAAAAGCUAUUUGGCUUCAGCUUGAAAAAACCUGAACUCAUCUUGACCAUCUGACAAUCAAGCUCGAGCUAAUGAAAGAGCUGAAUUUGAGUAUUUGAGUCAAGUAGUUUAAGAGCUUAAUCGAGCUUUUUCUUUUUAAUUACUAUUGUUUCAAUUUGAAUCCAAACUUGAGUAUAAAAACUGAGUUUCUAUUUCACUUUAAUUGAGGCUCAUCCAGUUCCAACUAUUAUCUCAAAUUGCUUCAGCUAUAAAAGCAAAAUUCAAUCAAACUCUAGUUGAGCUUGGAGCCUUGCAUUUCAGAUCGAAUUUCGAAUGGUUUGAGCUGACUACACCCUAUAACCUGACCUACCCUUUUGAUUCAGAUUACAUUACUCACUUGCAAAAUCAAAAAUAUAAAUUCACAUUGAUACUAAAAGAGAGAAAAAAAAGUUGAACCAGAUCAUUUUAACUUGAAACAAGAUUAUGUCCAAGACAAUAACAUCCAUAACUUCUGCAGCAGAUUAUCAGUAAAUUACUAACCAAAUUAUUGUUGCAUCACGAAUCUGAAUUACCUAAAAGUUUACAAGAAAACUAAAAGCAUCCAAAUAAACAUUCAAAAAGAGCAUUUUUAACGUUCUGUUCCAUUAUAAUUGUUUGUAUUUAACAAUAAUUCAUCGAAAUGAAAUACAGAAAGAGAAGAAAAAACAUGCAAUUGAUUCGUUAGAUCAAUUAUUAGAGAAGGGUAAAUAGAGAAAAUGUACCAUACUGGGUCAAAAUUCGAGCUAAUCAAUGAUUUAUAUAAGAAAAAAAGGUUCUUUUUUACCCCAACAAAAAGAGGAAAACAAAAUUGAUUUCUAUUGGAAGAAAAAAGAAAGGGAAGAAAACAAAAUCAUGCCCACUAAUCCCAUUUGAACUUAAAGACUUUGAAUUUUUGCUCAUUAGUUGUGUCUCAGCCACCACCUCCAUUACCAUAUCUUAAUUAUUCCAUUACCACCAACAAAAAUCCAGUUUGCAUAGUUCAAGGAAGAUGAAACGUAAAAAUAACAAAAACCAUAAAAAAUAAAAAAGUGGGAUUAACCAGCAACCAAUUAAGCCAAAACAACAUGUUGUUACUAAAAAACAACCACAUAUUUCUUUCUUUUUUCAUUCUUACCUUCGAGAGAGGAAGAUAAACACCAUCAUUGAUUGGUGCAGUACAAAUUUCGACAACGAAAGGCGAAAAGGAGGAAAAUCAAAGGUGAAUGCCGACAACUGGUGUUGGGAAUCGUUGCUGGCUGGCGGCAAGCACUAGAUCAGAGUGGGAAGGAAGGGGGGAGGGGAAAGAGGCUUUGGGUUACGUUUACUGCCGAAGAAAAAACCUUUAAAAGG